rnacentral:rRNA from 1 species
CUCAGUUCGGAUCGCAGUCUGCAACUCGACUGCGUGAAGCUGGAAUCGCUAGUAAUCGCGGAUCAGCAUGCCGCGGUGAAUACGUUCCCGGGCCUUGUACACACCGCCCGUCACACCACGAGAGUUUGUAACACCCGAAGUCGGUGAGGUAACCUUUUGGAGCCAGCCGCCGAAGGUGGGACAGAUGAUUGGGGUGAAGUCGUAACAAGGUAGCCGUAUCGGAAGGUGCGGCUGGAUCACCUCCUUUCUAAGGA